UCUCUGNUACCAGGAGUUAUCUGUGGCAACCUCCUUGUAAUAGUUGAUGUCUGGACAUGCAAAGCAUGCAGUUUGGAGUCAUCUAGCAGUGUGACGACAUUGACACAAGGAGGAGCGUGUUCCCAAAAGUUUGGCGAUCUACUUGACUGAAGAUCCAGACUCUUUCUUCAAGGAAUAUUUACCUCUUCCACUGAAAACGACAUCGCAGAAAGCAUUCCAGCUACAUUCAUCCAUCUCAGAAGAAAUGGGAUUGGAUGUUGCCGUUGGAAUUGAAGGUGUUCAAGACCUCAGGAACACACAUUAGACACAUUAGAAGAACUCCUUUUCUACCAAACUAAAUUGUGGUAAUUGGCUUUGAGGUUUUUUCAAAUCCUACAAAUACUAAAGGUUUUGCCAUUUCUUUUUCUCCUUUUUUAUUUCCCCUUUUCAAGAUCUGCUUAAAAUCUUGUUGAGUGAAACUGGUUUUAAGUCCACAUUUUAUAUUUGAAAAAAAAAAGUGUAUAUAUUACAAAUUGAUUUUUAAACUGUCAGGGUAUGGCAUCUUCAUGUAUUGUGGGGACUGAGUUUUAUCUUCAGUUUAUUUUUACAUAUUUUCAUUUUUCAGAAGUGCUUCUAUUUUGCUUUUAUUUUGAAAUAUUAAUUUUAUAUCUAAAGUAAAUUGCAUGUUGGCACACUUUUAAAAGGGUUUCCUUGAACAUGUAAUUGUAUUUUUCAGAACUGCAUUUCAGAGACUAAAUAAUGUUGUUUUGCUGUACUCGAAUAUAAAUAAAAUUGAGUUCAUCAAACCAA